rnacentral:lncRNA from 1 species
AGCAUCUUGAAUUUGGAAGUGGUCCAUAAAAUGACCACAGUGGGACAAAAACACAUGUGACUAGCAAGACCCUUGGGGACCUGCUUCACCAAAAAAAUAAAAUUAUUUAUAAUCGGCACAUCAAUUUGAAACCUAAAUACUUCUAAUAUGCUUGAAAAUAAUUUAAUCCCUUAAAUCUUUUAGCACCUACUUCUCUGCCCACCCCCAGUUUCCAGGGACUGUUUAUUGACUACCUGCUCUAUCCAAGACCAACCUCAUGUGUCGACUAUUAGCUUGCACAACCUGCAAAACAUUUACUGUGUAUUGGAAAUAAACGCACUUGCCUCGUUCUUCCCCACAUAACACCUCCUGGGCCUCCUCUUUCUCUCCUCAUUUUCUCUUUCUUUACCUCUCUAAGAUUCACUCAAUUUGACUGGUCUUCCUAGGGAGCCGUGUGGGCACUGCUCAUUCUAGAAUCCCAUUACUGGUUGUAUCCCAAGCUCAGAUAAGCAAGAUCACCCCGCUCCCAGGACAGGAAGGCAGAUAUCAGUCCUGGCUACAGCCUGACUGUGAAGCAGAAUAAACAAAGCCUCUAUUUCUGUCUGCAUUCUAUUUUCUAGGCUCUAGUAGGACUUGCUUCUUUUUCUUUCUUUCUCUUCCCUCCUUCCAUGUUUUCCCCUAUGUCUUUUCCUUAUCCUUCUCUUUCAUUCUUCCUUCCUUCCUUCCAACCUCUGUCUGUGAAACUCUUGCAUUCUGCUAAGCAAUAUGGAGAACGAGGGGAGAUGUUAAGUAUGCAUAUGCCCAACUCACCCAGAAGAGAAAGGCACAUAUUAAGCGUCAAGUGACGAAAACGGGAAUCCAGAAUUACAUUCCCAAAAGAAUUCUGCUUGGGAAAGACUCCUCACAGGCAUUCAUGGAAGGCUCCAGACUCUUAGACUUCGUUUACAUUUCAUAGCUUUCACUGAAUUUUCUUCAACUGUCUCUCCAAACAUACUUCUCUGAUCCAUAAACCAUUUCCAGUGAAACUUGGGUCAUAUUUGGUAUAAUUCCUGUAACUUUACAAGAAUCCCAGACAGACCAUUCAUUUCUAAGCAAACCUCUCUAUGUAAAGGAUUAUUUGUCAUUUCUCAGUCGGCCUUGUCAAUAGCCCCCUAUCCUCCCUCCCUCUGCUGAUCAUUAUGGUCUGCAUUUCCUUAAAAUAGUGGUUACUGGGACCUUGUUUGCCACUUUUCAUCUCAUUGCUUCUUUAUAGACAUUGAUUUAUUAAACUACAAACAAGUCCAUUCGAAUUGCGUGGGGCCAAACGUGAAAGAAAUGCUAAUAACAUUUGAUAUUCCCAGCUUUCCCCCACGUAUUCCUUUUAAGUAAAAAAUCUUUCAUACUAAAAUUUAG